rnacentral:rRNA from 1 species
AUUGAACGCUGGCGGCAUGCCUUACACAUGCAAGUCGAACGGCAGCAUGGAGGAGCUUGCUCCUCUGAUGGCGAGUGGCGAACGGGUGAGUAAAGCAUCGGAACGUACCGUGUAGUGGGGGAUAACGUAGCGAAAGUUACGCUAAUACCGCAUACGCACUGAGGUGGAAAGCAGGGGAUCGCAAGACCUUGCGCUAUACGAGCGGCCGAUGUCAGAUUAGCUAGUUGGUAGGGUAAAGGCCUACCAAGGCGACGAUCUGUAGCGGGUCUGAGAGGAUGAUCCGCCACACUGGGACUGAGACACGGCCCAGACUCCUACGGGAGGCAGCAGUGGGGAAUUUUGGACAAUGGGGGAAACCCUGAUCCAGCCAUGCCGCGUGAGUGAAGAAGGCCUUCGGGUUGUAAAGCUCUUUCGGCUGGGAAGAAAUCGCACAGGCUAAUACUCUGUGUGGAUGACGGUACCAGCAUAAGAAGCACCGGCUAACUACGUGCCAGCCGCCGCGGUAAUAC